GCACUAGUAGCUCAGCAGC
rnacentral:tRNA from 1 species